rnacentral:misc_RNA from 1 species
CAACCGUAAUUGCAACCUUAGCGGCUUUUCUUUCCCAUGCUGUAAUCCGUAAUAAUCAAUUUAAUUGUCGCCAUUUGCAAUAUUAAAAUUAUUCAAAAUGAGUGAUUUUAAUUCAGUUUCUUCUCAAAAUUAUGAUACCAAUUCAGCUUUUGCUGAUGCAGUUCAGCGAGCACGUCAGAUUGCUGCCAAAAUACAUUCAGGAGUAGAAACAACUGGCACAAAACGUGCCCUUGAUGAUGUGCAAGCUACAAUUGGGUUACCAGACACAAAGAAAUUAGCAAUUUCAGAUGAAAAAGGAAUUGUGCAACAGUUGGCUUCUAUACAGGCUCAAAGAUCUGUUGGAGGUAUAGCAAAUGCAAUAACUGUAGAAGAAUGGAAAGUUCCUGAUAAAAUGGUUGGCUUAAUUAUUGGACGUGGUGGAGAACAGAUAACUAGACUGCAAGCUGAUUCUGGCUGUAAAGUUCAAAUGGCUGCUGAUAGUGGAGGUUUACCAGAGAGAAUCUGCACACUUACUGGUAGUCGGCAAUCCAUUGAGAAGGCUAAAGAAUUGAUGACAGCUAUUAUUAAUCGAGGAGGACCACCUUUACCAGUAUUAGAUACAAAUCAUGUUCCUGAUGGGCAUUCUAUUGUAGAAAUGAUGAUUCCAGGGCCAAAAGUUGGCCUAGUAAUUGGAAAAGGUGGGGAAACUAUUAGAAAUCUUCAGGAAAGAGCAGCAGUUAAAAUGGUGCUUAUUCAAGAUGGUCCUCAGCAGACUUCUCAAGAGAAACCUUUAAGAAUCACCGGAGAACCAGAUAAAUGUGAAUAUGCCAAACAGUUAGUAAUGGAUCUUAUCACGGAAAAAGAAUUAGAAACUCUACAAAGAGGUUUUGAGGGAACUAAUGAAUAUGGUAGUUCUGCAGGUGGUCAAAGAUCAGGCAACACACAUGAAAUCAUGGUUCCAAAACAAGCUGUUGGUGUUGUUAUUGGUAAAGGUGGUGAUAUGAUUAAAAAGAUACAACAAGACUCUGGUGCGAGAGUUCAGUUCCUAAAUGUGAAAGAGGAAGGUCCUGAAGAUAAAGUCUGUGUGGUCACUGGUACUCCUGAACAGAUCCAGGCUGCAAGCUCAUUUAUCAGUGACCUCAUCCAAAGUGUACUGGUCAGAGAUCAACAAAAUGUUGGUCGAGGUAGAGGACGUGGAAGAGGUGACGGCAAUCCUAAUUUUGGUAAUAAUCCAAGAAAUAGACCUGAUUUGCCUGAAAUUCACUAUGCUGUUCCUGCUAACAAGUGUGGUCUAGUCAUUGGCAAAGGUGGUGACACUGUAAAGAAUAUUAACCAAACAUCUGGAGCUUAUGUGUCACUUUCUGCAUUGCCGCCUCCUAACUCACAAGAAAAAGUAUUUGUUAUUAAAGGGCAACCUCAACAAAUAGAACAUGCAAAAGAGCUUAUUAAUGAAAGAAUUGGUGGUGUUGGUAAUGUUAUUCAGUCACAGAAUCCUCAAAAUCAACAGAAUUUUGCACCUCAAUUUCCUCAACAGCAACAAUUCCAACAAGCACCAGCACCUGCUCAGCCAUAUGCUCCCCAAGGUUGGGCCAAUGCGUAUCAGCCUUGGCAAGGACAGACUGCUCCAGCUACAGACCCUAAUGCAGCAGCUUGGGCUGCUUAUUAUAGUCAAUAUUAUGGUCAGCAACAAGCUCAUCAAAUGCAACCCGGUGGUGCGCAACCUGUUGUUCAACCCGGUGUAGCUCCACAGCCAGGAAUGCCUGCUCAGCCUGAUCAAAAUCAAGCAGCGUCUCAGCAACCACCUGCUGCCACUCCUGCUGCUCCAACUGCUGCAGCUCCAGUUGGAAGUGCCGUGGCUGCCCAGCCAGAUUAUAGUGCUGCUUGGGCUGAGUAUUACAGAUCAUUGGGUAUGUACAGAGAAGCUGAGAUGAUUGAAAAUCAAGCAAAAACACAAAUGACUACAGUUAUGACUCCUCAACAGCCUGGAAUGGCGUUUCCUCAAGGUCAGUCGACAACCACAACUCCUGUUCAAGCACCAAAUUCUGCUCCUCAAACUGCACCUCAGCCUAAUGGUCCUCCUUCUCAACCUCCUCCAGCAUCUGGUCCCCCUGCUGCUCCUCCCGUUCAGCAACCAACUGCAGGAGCUCAAGCUCCACCUGCUCCCACUGGAGUCCCUGCUCCUCCUGGACACCCUCAAGGAUUCCCUCCUGGUGGACCUCAAGCUCAGUGGCCAACACCUGCUCCAUUUGGUCAACCUUUUGGACAACAACAACCUAAUGCUUUUGUAGGUUACAAUUAUCCUGGAUAUGGGCAACAACCUUUUGCAGCAGCUGCUGCACCACAGUGAAAGAUGGUCAAAAACUCUUGGUGGUUAUUCAUCUCAAAAUUAGAGCCUACCUGCUAGCCAUUAUUAAAUGGCGCUCCAGAACAUUCUGGGAGCCUAUGAUCCUCUGUGAGAAAACCUUGCUGAUAUUAUUACAUUUUGUCAUCUGGUGCUAUCUUAUGAAUGAAGUUUUAUCCCAUUUGUCUUGUGAUCAAAGUGAUAUUGAAAAAGUAACAGGAAUGAUAUUAUUAAAUAUGUCAUGAUUGAAAAAUGUGUAAAAUUUUUCUUUUCUUUUCAUGUUCAUAGGAAUUAGUAUGGAAAUGGAUUUGCAUCAAUUUCAAACAUUCCUAAACAGUUUUUCUUUCUUUUUUGUUUUGUUUUUUUCUCUUGUUUUUCUUAUUUGCUUUCUUUAGAUCGUUAACUUCAAGAAUGUUGUGCACUUUCUAGACCACUGCAGUUUGCUGACCUGUCAAAAUGGUAUACUUCUAUCUAAUCUUUCUCUUUUUUACAAUUAAAAAAAAAUUUGUACAUAUUACUGCUAAAUCGUUUUAUCAUCAUUAUCAUUUAUAAAUAUCAUUGUAUAGUGAAUUAAGACAUUGUGUAGUGAAGAUCAUGUUAAAUAAAAUUCAUUCCAUACUUGUAA